CGCUCGGCAGUACGUUUUGAACUCGGCCAAAAGCAGGCGGCUAAGAGUUUUGCGUGGCGCGCAAGCACAUAGUUCCCCGCUCGGACGUGAUUUCGCCCCUGGUACAUGAAUACAUGUGAAUGUGUACAUAUGUGCGCACGCAGCUCCAAACAACAACAACAACUAUUGGACUCUGCAGUGGCUGUUUCAAUUGAAUCGCCAGUCGCUUGAAUUGUUUUUUUUUAUAUGUAAUUGAAUGCCGAAAAACAACUGUAGCCGCGGUCAAGACAAAACUCUGUAAAAAAAGCAUCUGUGACAGCAACAAACAGAGCUUCGAAUUUUGUUGUUUUUAAUUUAGACACCAGAGAAUUCGAAGAAGGAAACCUUACUGCUUUGAAAGAUACCAACGAGCAAAACAUCGACCAAUAUCCCACUCAGUAAAGGAAUUUCAAAGGACCUUAUUUUUAAAAGUGACAAUAACUUAACUAUAACCAAUCGCUAAUGAAAUUGGACACAUCCGAAGACCUCGCCCGAUGUGCGUGGGAGCUGGCGCAUCGCCUUUGAAUCGAAUUCAGAGACAUGGUGAGUCAUUGACCAGAGACGAAGAAACCCGCGUAGGAGUUCGC